rnacentral:rRNA from 1 species
CCUACGGGUGGCAGCAGUGAGGAAUAUUGGUCAAUGGGCGCGAGCCUGAACCAGCCAAGUCGCGUGAGGGAAGACGGCCCUACGGGUUGUAAACCUCUUUUGCCGGGGAGCAACGGGCGCCACGUGUGGCGCCACUGAUAGUACCCGGAGGAAAAGCAUCGGCAAACGCCGUGCCAGCAGCCGCGGUAAUACGGAGGAUGCGAGCGUUCUCCGGAUUUAUUGGGUUUAAAGGGUGCGUAGGCGGAGCGUUAAGUCAGUGGUCAAAUUGAGGGGCCAAACCCCUUCCCGCCAUUGAAACUGGCGCUCUUGAGUGGAAGAGAAGUAGGCGGAAUGCGUGGUGUAGCGGUGAAAUGCAUAGAUAUCACGCAGAACCCCGAUUGCGAAGGCAGCAUGCUGGAUUCCGACUGACGCUGAAGCACGAAAGCGUGGGGAUCGAACAGGAUUAGAUACCCUGGUAGUC